CCUACGGGGGGCAGCAGUAGGGAAUAUUGGACAAUGGAGGAAACUCUGAUCCAGCCAUGCCGCGUGAUAGAUGAAGGCCCUCUGGGUUGUAAAUAUCUUUUAUCUGGGAAGAAACAAUCUUAUUCUUAAGAUCUUGACGGUACCAGAGGAAUAAGCACCGGCUAACUCCGUGCCAGCAGCCGCGGUAAUACGGAGGGUGCAAGCGUUAUCCGGAUUCACUGGGUUGUAGGGGUGCGGAGAAGUGAGGAGUGAAAGCUCCGAGCUUAACUUGGAAACUGCCAUUGAUACUGCCAGUCUUGAAUGUCGUAGAGGUAAGCGGAAUGUUGCAUGUAGCGGUGAAAUGCUUAGAUAUGUUACAGAACACCAAUUGCGAAGGCAGCUUACUAUGCGAUGAUUGACGCUGAGGCACGAAAGCGUGGGGAGCAAACAGGAUUAGAUACCCCGGUAGUC
rnacentral:rRNA from 1 species